AGGCCUAAUACAUGCAAGUCGCACGGGAUCCGGGCUUCGGCCUGGUGAGAGUGGCGCACGGGUGAGUAACGCGUGGGAACCUACCCCGGGGUGGGGGAUAACCACUGGAAACGGUGGCUAAUACCGCACGAUCCCUAAGGGGCAAAGUCGCAAGACGCCCUGGGAGGGGCCCGCGUCCGAUUAGCUAGUUGGCGGGGUUACGGCCCACCAAGGCGAUGAUCGGUAGCUGGUCUGAGAGGAUGAUCAGCCACACUGGGACUGAGACACGGCCCAG
rnacentral:rRNA from 1 species